GAGAAUUUUAACAUUUAUUUAUUUUUUCUUAGUUCUUGGUGGACACAACAUCUUCGUUUGUAUGUGGUGCUGAGGAUCGAACCCGGGCUGCACGCCACGCUAGGCGAGCAUGCUACCGCUUGAGCCACAUCCCCAGCCCCUGCAAACAUUUUAAAUAAGCCAUUUUUGAAGACCCGGAGAGGGAUGUCUUUAUAUUUUACAUAUAUGGAAUGCUUCAGCCAUCAAGAGACUUUGACUGUGAGUGAAGUGCAUGAAAAUACGAAGGUAUAAGAAGAUGUUGGCCCUGGAGGCAACAAGUGGGGAGUGGAGGCACUGGCUGGACAUGGCCUCUUAUAAAGAGCACUGCAGCAGACAGAGUGGAGAGGGCUGCAGGACGCCCGUCACCAGGGAGACGUCACAUCUGCCUCCUAGGUAGGAUGCCUUCCCAAGGAAACCUGCUGCGAGGGUGA
rnacentral:lncRNA from 1 species